rnacentral:rRNA from 1 species
UCUGGUUGAUCCUGCCAGAAGUUAUAUGCUUGUUUCAAGGAUUAAGCCAUGCAUGUCUAAGAAUAAAGUAAUCUAAGCUGAAUCUGCGUACGGCUCAUUAAACCAGCAAUGAUCUACCCUGGAAAGUGAGGCUUCGGCCUUGCCAUUCGGAUAUCCACUCGAAACGGGUGGUUAAUACGUGGAAGAAAAGAGCCGCCUCCAUCCAACCAGUGCUAGGGGAAACCCGAGCUGGGGAGGCGGUUUGGUGUGGACCGAAACAAAAACCGACGCCCGCAAGGGCAGUUUCAUUACAUCGGUGAAUCAGGUCCACUUAUUACCUAAAGCGCAGUUCACUGCGCGUUCCAGGACGAACUUCUGCCCUAUCAGCUAUGAUGGUUGUGUAGUGGACAACCAUGGCGGUCACGGGUAACGGAGAAUCAGGGUUCGAUUCCGGAGAGUGAGCCUGAGAGACGGCUAACACAACUAAGGUUGGCAGCAGGCGCGCAAAUUACCCAAUGUCAACACUGACGAGGUAGCGACGAAAAAUAGGAUUUCCGCUGGUCUUCGACCAGUGGAGAUUCCAAUGAAUGGUACUUAAACCCACCACUGAGUAACGAUUGGAGGGCAAGUCUGGUGCCAGCAGCCGCGGUAAUUCCAGCUCCAAGAGCGUAUGCUAAUGCUGUUGCUGUUAAAAAGCUCGUAGUUGGAUUCUGAGUUGAAGGUUGCACCCGGCCUUUCUACUGGGCGUCCUCUGGGCGCUCCAGUCAGAUUGGGUACAACCGAGUGCUUUCGACCUUCACUCUACACACGCGGAAACGAUUCCUCUGCGGAAGCCUCCUUCACUGGUGGUGGAAGCAACAUUACGGGACCACAAGUUCCCAUAAAGAGGCGUCCGCGAUUGUUACUGUGAACAAAACAGCGUGUUCAAAGCAUCCGUUUGGCUGAAUGAUCUAGCAUGGAAUAACAAGGGAUCGACCCUUUUGGUCUUCUUUUUGUCGGUUUUGAUUUCCCCAAGGGGCAAUCAAGGGCGGAGUAACCAUCUGGCCUCUUGUUGCGCUGGCUUCGGCCACGUGCUCAGGAACCAAAUGGUCUCCGUUCCGUCGGUAUUAAUAGGAGCAAGCGGGGUGGUACGUAUUGCUGCGUUAGUGGUGAAAUACUUAGACCGCAGCAGGACGAACAACAGCGAAGGC